rnacentral:rRNA from 1 species
GACGAACGCUGGCGGCGUGCUUAACACAUGCAAGUCGAACGGAAAGACCCUGCUUUUGUUGGGUGCUCGUGUGGCGCACGGGUGAGUAACACGUGAGUAACCUGCCCUUGUCUUUGGGAUAACUCCAGGAAACUGGGGCUAAAACCGGAUAGGAGCUCCUGCUGCACGGUGGGGGUUGGAAAGUUUCGGCGGUUGGGGAUGGAAUCGCGGGUUAUCAGCUUGUUGGUGGGGUAGUGGCUUACCAAGGCUGUGAAGGGUAGCCGGCCUGAGAGGGUGGCCGGCCACAUGGGGACUGAGAUACGGCCCAGAAUCCUACGGGAGGCAGCAGUGGGGAAUAUGGCGCAAUGGGGGGAAGCCUGAGGCAGCAACGCCGCGUGCGGGAUGACGGCCUUCGGGUUGUAAACCGCUUUCGCCUGUGACGAGGCGUGAGUGACGGUAAUGGGUAAAGAAGCACCGGCUAACUACGUG